rnacentral:rRNA from 1 species
CGUAGGGUGCGAGCGUUAAUCGGAAUUACUGGGCGUAAAGCGUGCGCAGGCGGUUUAGUAAGACAGGCGUGAAGUCCCCGGGCUCAACCUGGGAACUGCGCUUGUGACUGCUAAGCUAGAGUACGGCAGAGGGGGGUGGAAUUCCACGUGUAGCAGUGAAAUGCGUAGAGAUGUGGAGGAACACCAAUGGCGAAGGCAGCCCCCUGGGUCGAUACUGACGCUCAUGCACGAAAGCGUGGGAAGCAAACAGGAUUAGAUACCCUGGUAGUCCACGCCCUAAACGAUGUCAACUAGGUGUUGGGAGGGUAAAACCUUUUAGUACCGGAGCUAACGCGUGAAGUUGACCGCCUGGGGAGUACGGCCGCAAGGUUA